rnacentral:rRNA from 1 species
UACGGAGGGUGCAAGCGUUAUCCGGAUUCACUGGGUUUAAAGGGUGCGUAGGUGGGAAUGUAAGUCAGUGGUGAAAUCUCCGUGCUUAACAUGGAAACUGCCAUUGAUACUAUGUUUCUUGAAUUUUCUGGAGGUAAGCGGAAUAUGUCAUGUAGCGGUGAAAUGCUUAGAUAUGACAUAGAACACCGAUAGCGAAGGCAGCUUGCUACACAAAAAUUGACGCUGAGGCACGAAAGCGUGGGGAUCAAACAGG